rnacentral:rRNA from 1 species
AUGAACGUUGGCGGCGUGGAUUAGGCAUGCAAGUCGAGCGAGAACCGGUUUCGGCCGGGGACAGCGGCGAACGGCGUAGUAAUGCAUCGGAACGUACCCUCUGGUCGGGGAUAGCUACGGGAAACUGUAGGUAAUACCCGAUAAUCUCUGUGGAGCAAAGGUGAGAUUCCGCCGGAGGAGCGGCUGAUGUGAUAUUAGCUAGUUGGUGGGGUAAUGGCCUACCAAGGCGAUGAUGUCUAGGGGGUGUGAGAGCAUGGCCCCCACGACCGGAACUGAGAUACUGUCCGGACACCUACGGGUGGCUGCAGUCGAGAAUCUUCCGCAAUGGACGAAAGUCUGACGGAGCGACGCCGCGUGCGGGAUGAAGGCCCUUGGGUUGUAAACCGCUGUCAGAGGGGAUGAAAUCGUCGGAGGUACUCCUCCGAUGUUGACAGAGCCUCAAAGGAAGCACGGGCUAAGUACGU